GGAGUGGUGGCCUAGUAGUCAAGGCAUUUGACUUUCAAUCACUAGGUCCCAGGUUCGAACCUCGCUCUGUCCA
rnacentral:tRNA from 1 species